rnacentral:lncRNA from 1 species
ACACUUUUAUGGUGAACGAACAAAGGUUGAAAAUAUAUUCAGGAGGUGAAAUACCAGCUGAAAAGGAGCGCUUAAUGGGAGGCAACCCAUCAGAUAAAUCUUUUAUUUCAUUCGCACUUUAAAUUUCAUGUUAUUUAGGUUAAUCGUAUUUUUUUUUGUAACAUGUUGUUUGUUGAAGUGGUAUGAGAAAGAUAGAAAAAAGAAUGGAAGGAAAAAUGAAAGAAUAUGAAAAAUUGGAGGAAAAAAAAGGAUUUUGGCCCCUGGAUUUUUCGCG